GAUGAACGCUGGCGGCGUGCCUAAUACAUGCAAGUCGAGCGAACAGACCCGGUGCUUGCUCCUCUGACGUUAGCGGCGGACGGGUGAGUAACACGUGGAUAACCUACCUAUAAGACUGGGAUAACUUCGGGAAACCGGAGCUAAUACCGGAUAAUAUAUUGAACCGCAUGGUUCAAUAGUGAAAGACGGUUUUGCUGUCACUUAUAGAUUGAUCCGCGCCGCAUUAGCUAGUUGGUAAGGUAACGGCUUACCAAGGCGAUGAUGCGUAGCCGACCUGAGAGGGUGAUCGGCCACACUGGAACUGAGACACGGUCCAGACUCCUACGGGAGGCAGCAGUAGGGAAUCUUCCGCAAUGGGCGAAAGCCUGACGGAGCAACGCCGCGUGAGUGAUGAAGGUCUUCGGAUCGUAAAACUCUGUUAUUAGGGAAGAACAAAUGUGUAAGUAACUAUGCACGUCUUGACGGUACCUAAUCAGAAAGCCACGGCUAACUACGUG
rnacentral:rRNA from 1 species